AUGUGGGAUGCAGUCAUAGAGGUUUUGGGCAUUGUUGAGGAUGAUGUGUGUGUUCCAUGUAGGGCUGGAGGUUUGGUUCAUCAAAUGGAGACUUUUAGCUUUGUGUUCAUCCUGAAGAUGAUGCUAAAAAUCCUUCGCAUGACAAAUGAUUUGUCUCUUCUAUUGCAAAAGAAGGAUCAAAAUGUUGUUCAGGCAAUGUUAACGGUUACGGAUGUGAGAACACGUUUGAUCAACUGGAGAAAUAAUGGUUGGGAGCCACUCUUGGAAGAUGUCAAAGCCUUUUGCACCAAAAAUGACAUUCCCAUACCAAAUAUGGAUGACAUCUUUACAAAGUGGGGGAAAUCAAGAAAAGGUGGACGAAACAAUGUCAUGGCUGACCAUUUUUCCCGUGUGGACACCUUCUAUGCUGCCAUAGACUCCAUCACCAUAGAGUUUGAUCAUCGUUUUAAUAAGCUAUCUUCAGAGCUGCUCCAGAACUUCUCUUGUCUUGACCCUAGAAACUCCUUUUCUAGGUUCAAUGUGAAUAAGCUUGCUAGACUCAUAGAGAUUUAUCAUGAGGAUUUCUCAGAUUAUGAAUGUGAACAUAUAGUUGAUAACCUAGAGCUAUUCAUUAUCCAUAUGAGAAGAAUUGAAGACUUUAGAGCUUGUCAUGAUAUUGCAAGUCUAGAAAAAAAGAAGGUUGAACUUGAAAGGCAUGUCAUGUUUCCUGCUGUUUAUCGCCUCAUUGAGUUGGCAUUGCUACUACCGGUAGCGACGGCAACAGUUGAAAGAGCCUUCUCAUCAAUGAAAAUCAUCAAGACUGGGGUUGCACAGCAAGAUGUGUGA
rnacentral:rRNA from 1 species